GCAUAUCAAUAAGCGGAGGAAAAGAAACUAACAAGGAUUCCCCUAGUAACGGCGAGCGAAGCGGGAAGAGCUCAAAUUUGAAAGCUGGCACCUCCGGUGUCCGCGUUGUAAUCUCGAGACGUGUUUUCCGUGCGGCUCUAUGGACAAGUCCCUUGGAACAGGGCAUCGUAGAGGGUGAAAAUCCCGUACUUGCCAUGGAUGUACCGUGCUUUGUGAUACACGCUCUAAGAGUCGAGUUGUUUGGGAUUGCAGCUCAAAAUGGGUGGUAGACUCCAUCUAAAGCUAAAUAUCGGGGAGAGACCGAUAGCGAACAAGUACCGUGAGGGAAAGAUGAAAAGCACUUUGGAAAGAGAGUUAAAAGUACGUGAAAUUGUCGAAAGGGAAGCGCUUGAAGUCAGCCAUGCUGCGCGGACUCAGCCCGGCUGAUGCCUGGUGUAUUUCCCAGCAGCAAGUCAGCAUGGAUUUGGAUCGCCGGAGAAGGGUGGGAGGAAUGUGGCACCCUCGGGUGUGUUAAGCCUCCUACUGGAUACGGCGAUUUGGAUCCAGGAACGCAGUGUGCCUCUGGCGGGUCUUCGGACACCUUCACACUUAGGAUGCUGGCGUAAUGGCUUUAAGCGGUCCGUCUUGAAACACGGACC
rnacentral:rRNA from 1 species